UACGGGGGGGGCAAGCGUUGUUCGGAAUUACUGGGCGUAAAGGGCUCGUAGGUGGCCAACUAAGUCACACGUGAAAUCCCUCGGCUUAACCGGGGAACUGCGUGUGAUACUGGAUGGCUUGAGUUUGGGAGAGGGAUGCGGAAUUCCAGGUGUAGCGGUGAAAUGCGUAGAUAUCAAGCGGAACACCGGUGGCGAAGGCGGCCUUCUGGACAGUGACUGACGCUGAGACGCGAAAGCGUGGGGAGCAAACAGG
rnacentral:rRNA from 1 species